UCAAAUUGUUUGUUAGUUUUUUAGUUAGAUUUGUUAUUAGGGAUUUUAUUAAUCAGUUUAGAUUUUUACUUUAGCGGGGGUACGGUGUUAAUAGUAUUGAUAAAAUAACCAAAAUGUCCUUUCAUUCUUCUUCUCCUCCAACCCUCCUUUAUCUGUAGAAAGGUAUUUGCCGUAUAAAAAAUAUAUAAUAAUGGAAUAUAGACGGAACACUAACGGCGGGGUUCAAAGUGAAUAUUUUUUAUUCUUUAGGGGGGCAAAGUGUAGGUUUUUAAAUGACAGGGAGGUAAAGUAAAAAAAUUAGGUUUUGAUAUGGAGGUUUUCUGUAAUUUAGCCUUUAUUAAAAUAAGAAAUAUAUAAAUCAAAGUUGAGAAUAUCGUGAAUUCAAAUUGUUUGU
rnacentral:lncRNA from 1 species